GUUUGAUGUUGCUUCAAGCUUCCUCUGGUUCCUUUUGAGCGGCGGCGUUUGCUUUGGAGGUGGUCCUACUUUCAGAUCGGCGCUUGUUUUGCUUGGGUCGGUCCUCACCACCUAUCACUUGGUUGUUCCGGUAGUGUUUGUUUGUGUAGCACCAUAGAUAGGAUUCCGUUUGUUUUGUUGAUGGCGCCGCUGCGGUGGUGAGCUGGUGGCAGCGUCGUCUCCUCUUGUUCUGUUUUGGCUGGCUCGUCGGAGGUUUUCUCCGUUGAUCUUGUCUCUGUUAUCAGAGACUUCGGGUGGUGGUUGUUAUGGCCUUGUUUUGGUUUCGUAAACCCGAAAGGGUUUGGUUCUUUUAACCCGAAAGGGUUGUUUGGGUUCUUUGCAAUCCGUUGAUUUUGUGCUCUUGUGCUUGACUCUCUGAUGUUCCAGGUCUGUUGAGAUCUGCAGGCUUCAAGUCUUCAGGAUUACGUCCUCUCCAGUUCUGACCUGUUAUCCAUCUCGGUCAAUGUGAUUGUUAUCGGACUGUUAAGCUCGAAAAAACUAUUAUACCUGCUGCUUUGUUAAGGGGGUUGUUGGUACGUGGAUCUUGAUACCGUGUUGGCGGUCGAUCCAUUCGCCUCUAAACCUUAUUUAAUUCUAUGGAUGUACACUCUUCAUAUUUUUUAUUUUUUUUUUAAUCUGGUUUCGUGUUCGUACGCGGGCACGCUGGGUUGCGUUCGUGAGGAGUGCUCUUUCUGUUAGGAUUAUUUAGGGAAGGGCUACCUGGGUUGUAUUAUAUUGUAUUAUUCCCAUUUAGAUUGUACCUGGAUCAGGCCUAAUGUCCCCCCAGUCUCUGUAUCUCUUUAUUUUUAUUUAUUAUAUUUUGGUUUCUUGCCUAA
rnacentral:lncRNA from 1 species